GCAUAUCAAUAAGCGGAGGAAAAGAAACCAACAGGGAUUGCCUCAGUAACGGCGAGUGAAGCGGCAAUAGCUCAAAUUUGAAAUCUGGCUCUUUCAGGGUCCGAGUUGUAAUUUGCAGAGGGCGCUUUGGAGUCGACAGCAGCCUAAGUUCCUUGGAACAGGUCAUCAUAGAGGGUGAGAAUCCCGUAUGUGGCUGCUUGCCUUCGCCGUGUAAAGCCCCUUCGAUGAGUCGAGUUGUUUGGGAAUGCAGCUCUAAAUGGGAGGUAAAUUUCUUCUAAAGCUAAAUAUUGGCCAGAGACCGAUAGCGCACAAGUAGAGUGAUCGAAAGAUGAAAAGCACUUUGGAAAGAGAGUCAAAAAGCACGUGAAAUUGUUGAAAGGGAAGCGCUUGCAGCCAGACGUGCCCGUAGUUGCUCAUCUGGGGUUCUCCCCAGUGCACUCUUCUAUGGGCAGGCCAGCAUCAGUCCGGGCGGUUGGAGAAAGACCUGUGUCACGUAGCUCUCUUCGGGGAGUGUUAUAGGGCAGGUGGAAUGCAACCAGCCUGGACUGAGGUCCGCGCAUCUGCUAGGAUGCUGGCGUAAUGGCUGUAAGCGGCCCGUCUUGAAACACGGACCAAGGAGUCUAACAUCUAUGCGAGUGUUUGGGUGUCAAGCCCGAGCGCGUAAUGAAAGUGAACGGAGGUGGGAACCCCUCGGGGUGCACCAUCGACCGAUCCUGAUGUCUUCGGAUGGAUUUGAGUAAGAGCAUAGCUGUUGGGACCCGAAAGAUGGUGAACUAUGCCUGAAUAGGGUGAAGCCAGAGGAAACUCUGGUGGAGGCUCGCAGCGGUUCUGACGUGCAAAUCGAUCGUCAAAUUUGGGCAUAGGGGCGAAAGACUAAUCGAACUAUCUAGUAGCUGGUUC
rnacentral:rRNA from 1 species